GCGGGAGUGCCGGAGUGGUCAAACGGGUCAGGUUUAGGCCCUGAUGGCUUAGUGCCUACGCAGGUUCGAAUCCUGUCUCCCGCA
rnacentral:tRNA from 1 species